rnacentral:rRNA from 1 species
CCUACGGGAGGCAGCAGUGGGGAAUAUUGGACAAUGGGCGAAAGCCUGAUCCAGCCAUGCCGCGUGUGUGAAGAAGGCCUUCGGGUUGUAAAGCACUUUCAGUGGGGAAGAAAGCCUUGGGGCUAAUACCCUCGAGGAAGGACAUCACCCACAGAAGAAGCACCGGCUAACUCCGUGCCAGCAGCCGCGGUAAUAAGGAGGGUGCGAGCGUUAAUCGGAAUUACUGGGCGUAAAGCGCGCGUAGGCGGUCUGAUAAGCCGGUUGUGAAAGCCCCGGGCUCAACCUGGGAACGGCAUCCGGAACUGUCAGGCUAGAGGGCAGGAGAGGAAGGUAGAAUUCCCGGUGUAGCGGUGAAAUGCGUAGAGAUCGGGAGGAAUACCAGUGGCGAAGGCGGCCUUCUGGACUGACACUGACGCUGAGGUGCGAAAGCGUGGGUAGCAAACAGGAUUAGAUACCCUUGUAGUC